rnacentral:misc_RNA from 1 species
GUUGAUCAAGUAAGAGAAUUUUUUCCUGAGGAGUCAGUUCCAUACGUUGGAGAAUCAUUGACAAUCCUUCGAAAAGAGGUAGAUAAUAAGGCUGCAGUGCUUGGUUUUGUUGGGGCUCCUUUUACGCUGGCAUCAUAUGUUGUUGAAGGUGGUUCAUCAAAGCACUUUUCAAAAAUAAAAAGAUUAGCUUUCUCUCAGCCUAAGGUACUUCAUGCAUUGCUUCAGAAAUUGGCAAUCUCAAUGGCAAAAUACAUUCAAUAUCAAGCUGACAAUGGGGCUCAAGCUGUUCAAAUCUUUGACUCAUGGGCCACAGAGCUUAGCCCUGUUGAUUUUGAAGAGUUCAGUCUUCCAUACCUGAAGCAGAUUGUGGAUACUGUGAGAAAAACACAUCCAAAUCUCCCUCUAAU